AGACUGUGGGUAAUCGGGCCACAAUAUCUGCCACUCUACUGAUUGUUAGCAUUGAUUCAGAGUCUAGCUGGCCAGGCGAGUGGCCCUUUUCUUCCUCGCUGCUCUGUGUGUACCUUUCCUGAAGUUGCAAGCUAAGUGGAAGGGAACGAACUUCCUCCAUUGGUGGUUUGAAUAGGAAUGCUCCUCCCCACCCCCCCACCCCCACACACACACCCCAGACUCAAGCAUUUGAAUGCUUGGUGUG
ensembl:misc_RNA Gm24733 predicted gene, 24733